GAAAUUUAACGGAUUUGGCGGCAAGAUAGCCCCUUAGAGGAACCUGCCCUGUAAACGAUGAACCACGAGGGACUCUACUUUCUUUGGUAGUCAGUUUGUAUAUCGCUGUUGUCAGUUAGAUUCUUGAGAAUAUUUUCGUUUAUGAAAAGUUCAUUGACUUCAAGUAAAGGUGCAGCUUAUAAGGAAGAUAGAGGUGGGUUACAUUUAUGAGAAUAAAACGGAAAGGAUGGAUGAAACAAUCCUUGAAGGUGGAUUUAACUGUAAAGCUUAAGUAGGUUUGGUGAGAGCUCUAUCUUGUGUACACACCGCCCGUC
rnacentral:rRNA from 1 species